rnacentral:lncRNA from 1 species
AAAGUAGACCGACUCUUGCCGCCCGUCUCGUUUCGUUUGGGAAUUUCGUCGAACAGGUGGAGGGGGUGGAGAUAUGUAGAUGGAGACGCGGCGGAGCUCGGUGGAGACGCGGUGGAGAUGCAGCGGCUUCGGUGGAGACGCGGCGCAGAUGCGGCGGCUUCGGUGGAGAUGCGGAGGUGCUCAGCGGAGCUUGGUGAAGACGCGGAGG